rnacentral:rRNA from 1 species
UACGGGGGGGGCAAGCGUUGUUCGGAAUUACUGGGCGUAAAGGGCGCGUAGGCGGCCUGCUAAGUCGGAUGUGAAAUCCCUCGGCUCAACCGAGGAACUGCAUCCGAUACUGGCGGGCUUGAAUCCGGGAGAGGGAUGUGGAAUUCCAGGUGUAGCGGUGAAAUGCGUAGAUAUCUGGAGGAACACCGGUGGCGAAGGCGGCAUCCUGGACCGGUAUUGACGCUGAGGCGCGAAAGCUAAGGGAGCAAACGGG